CGUCCCCCGCCAGCCCAGUGGCCGAGCAGAGACGACUCACCAGUGACAAGAGAACCCAGUUCCCGGACAUGGCUGUGGAGCAAUCGCCGAAGUGAAGGAGUCUUUCCAACCGGCACCAGGGCGAGUUACGCACCCGUUUCAGCUGGGGAGGACUGAAGUGCGGAGCGCACACGUCUUGCUCGGAGCAGGAGCCUCGGCUGACUGCUGGGAUUCUCAGAGCAGACCCAGCCUUGGCUCGGCUCCGUGUGCCGUGGUGUCGACGUUAGAGGCUCACAGGAACCCCGGACGAGUGUCUGUAAAUGGCAGUUCUCCAAGGCAGAGGUUCAGAUGUUGUGCUGUGGGGAUUCCGAAGAGGGAGGACCCUUUAUAUUUUAUUCUCAGGAGGAGUACAAAGCUAACUCCUAAGACAAAUCACACAGCUCCCGCUAUAUGAUUAAAAACUUACAAUUA